CGGAACACCAUGAAAGACGCCAUCAUUUUGGUCCAGUCCAUCCUUCUGUUCAUGUUCGUAAGCUUCCCUCUGUUCAUGAUUCUGGGGAAGGGUGAUGGUAAGGAAGCCCCUGGUGAGGACCACACGUAUGAGGGCCUGGCUGUUGAACUGGCCGAUACCUACGAAGACAUUGGUACCUACCAGGACAAAGCAGAGAAGUGGGACCUUGGGGAGCACCCAUGUGAAGAGUGACGCCCGCUGCAGGGUGGUUCCUCUUGUGGGCACGGCCCAGUGUGAGUUUCCCACUGGAUGUGGCAGACGGCCUCCUAGUUCCUGGAGGCACUCUAGGGAGUCCUCUCGGUGCCAGCUCGCUUGCCUUUCUUGUCAUCAGCUCAACUACUAGAGCAGCUUCAGCGUCUGAGAUUCUAUGGACUUUGGGGGUAUUGUUAAGAGACACACCAAUAUAGGAAGGUGGAAGAUGGACUCAAGUCAGACUGGACAAAUAAAAGAAGUGGGGGGCAAUA